rnacentral:rRNA from 1 species
GGGGAAUAUUGCACAAUGGGGGAAACCCUGAUGCAGCGACGCCGCGUGAGUGAAGAAGUAUUUCGGUAUGUAAAGCUCUAUCAGCAGGGACGAAUAAAUGUCGGUACCUGACUAAGAAGCCCCGGCUAACUACGUGCCAGCAGCCGCGGUAAUACGUAGGGGGCAAGCGUUAUCCGGAUUUACUGGGUGUAAAGGGAGCGUAGACGGUGAUGUAAGUCAGAUGUGAAAGCCCGGGGCUCAACCCCGGGACUGCAUUUGAAACUAUGUUGCUAGAGUGCAGGAGAGGUAAGUGGAAUUCCUAGUGUAGCGGUGAAAUGCGUAGAUAUUAGGAGGAACACCAGUGGCGAAGGCGGCUUACUGGACUGUAACUGACGUUGAGGCUCGAAAGCGUGGGGAGCAAAC